rnacentral:rRNA from 1 species
UACAGAGGGGGCAAGCGUUGUUCGGAAUUACUGGGCGUAAAGGGCGCGUAGGCGGCCUGCUAAGUCGAACGUGAAAUCCCCGGGCUCAACCCGGGAACUGCGUCCGAUACUGGCAGGCUUGAAUCCGGGAGAGGGAUGUGGAAUUCCAGGUGUAGCGGUGAAAUGCGUAGAUAUCUGGAGGAACACCGGUGGCGAAGGCGGCAUCCUGGACCGGUAUUGACGCUGAGGAGCGAAAGCGUGGGGAGCAAACAGG